rnacentral:rRNA from 1 species
AGAGGUGGCAAGCGUUGUUCGGAAUUACUGGGCGUAAAGGGCGCGUAGGCGGUCUUUUAAGUUCCGUGUGAAAUCCCUCGGCUCAACUGAGGAACCGCACGGGAAACUGGAAGGCUUGAGUUCGGGAGAGGGAAGCGGAAUUCCGGGUGUAGCGGUGAAAUGCGUAGAUAUCCGGAGGAACACCGGUGGCGAAGGCGGCUUCCUGGACCGACACUGACGCUGAGGCGCGAAAGCUAGGGGAGCAAACGGGAUUAGAUACCCCGGUAGUCCUAGCUGUAAACGAUGAGUGCUGGGUGUAGGGGGUAUUCACCUCCCCUGUGCCGAAGCUAACGCAUUAAGCACUCCGCCUGGGGAGUACGGUCGCAAGGCUG